UCAGCUCACCUGCAGCAGACUCCAGGCUUCUGUGUCCACACAAACUCAAUCUAAACAAAGCACCUGGAAGUACUGGUCACAGUUGUGAGUAGAUCUUUUAUGCUUACGUGGGGAUUUCUGAGCUACAAUUACAUCAAUAAAGCCACAGAAGAAAAGCUAAAACACGAUGGAACAAAAACCUAUCAUGAAAAUGUGUUGUAGACUCUCCUGCAGAAGUGACUGGGUGCCCUGUAAUGCCUGCAAACGGCAUGUCAACAUGUACUCGGCUGCUCCUUUUGUCAAGCCCAAAGAAACAUUACCGGGAAAAGGGAGCUCCGAGAGAUGACGUCACACAGGGUCGUCCCCCUCAAGGCGCCGCCAUAUUGGCAGCAAUCAGACGCCUCACCUCAGCGGCACAGCUUCUCCUUCGGACGCAAACGUUUCAUACAAGCAUCUUGAGAAACGGGAAUAAGUAGGGGAAUACUGUACGCCAUUUUAUCGGAUUGCUAAAGAUGCGGAGUGGCAAGCUAAGUGGAUCAGCGCCAUUAAAAGAACCAGGGGCAAAACAAGACUAAAGAUGGGACCCUCCAGCGGUCUUAUUCCGUUUGUGCAGUGAUUACUUCAUAUCAUGUAUGUUAUUGUAUACAAAGCUUACUUACUUUCAUUGUAUGACAUAAUCAUGGUUUCAGAUUAAAGCUAGUGUAGAACCACAGUUCAUUGCAUUCAAUUUGUGGGGAUAACAGUGUCGUGUGUAAGUUAGGAAGCGCUAACAAAGCAUCCAAAAUGUGGAUGUUGAUUUAUUUUGCAGGAAGAAAGAGCGAUAAUCCAUAGAGUUCAGACUUUAUUCCAUCUAUUUUCAACAACUUCCAUCUCCAGAGAAGAGAAAAAUUAAAACGAAAACCAGACGUGUUAGCCAAACUAAUGUCAACAAACAACACGCUGACCUUUCUGCUAGCCAUGCUAAUGUUAGCUGCCUGAAAUAUAACACUUACCCUUCCAGUGAUGAUGGAGCAAUUUUUUGAUCGAAGAUUCCACAGCUGAAUGUUCACUGCAAACCCAGAUUGACUCCAUCUGUAACACUCCAGGCUUUUGUAAACUUUAGAGUCCGCCGUGUAGGAGAAUGGGAGGUUUAUUAGGUAAUUAUAUGUCUGAAUAGCAUAAAUGUGGAACGUUUAUUUUAGAGGAGAUACCUUUAAAAAACACGGCGGGCACAUUAUUAGGUUGAUAAUAUUUAUGCUUUUUUAAUUUUUUUUUUUAAAUAAAGCUAAAUGUUAUGUGAAUUAAAGUGAGAUAAAUAUUCCGAUGCCUUUAAAGUUUCAGCAGUGGCGCUCACGACGACGCUGCUUACAUUGGUGCCAAAAUGGCUGACUGACUACAGUCACCUGGGGUCCGGAGCUCUAUUGAUUUCCAGGGUAACAUUUUGCUAAAAUAUAUAAAAAAAUGCAAGUGAUUUUGCAUAGGAAGUUUUCUGACGUUAGAACAAAGUAGCAGUCAUAGAUUUAGGAUCAAAUAUCCAUACACCCACAGAUUAAGUCAGUGGUGCUGAGAUUUUGAAACUGUCCUUUAACUUGCUGAGGCCAAGGUCUUUUAACUUUGUGCUGGUGCUCAUCACCGACGGCAGCUGUUCGCCUCUGUGUGCCAGCACAUAAAAGGAUUGUUUGGCAGCACUGGCUGGACUGACCAUCCCAUCACACAGUGGGGAGGUUCUCAGUUCAGCUCAGGUCUGUGCAGAAAGGUUUCCACAAGUUAGAAAGUAUUAUGAAGAACGGCAACAUUUAAAUAAAUAAAAAAAUAAAAAA